AUUGAACGCUGGCGGCAGGCCUAACACAUGCAAGUCGAACGAGUGGCGGACGGGUGAGUAAUUUAUGGGAAACUGCCUGAUGUAGGGGGCUGACUGCUGGAAACGGUAGCUAAUACCGCUUACGCUCAGAUGGGGCGUGAUGGGAUUAGCUAGUUGGUGGGGUAACGGCUGACCAAGGCGACGAUCCCUAGCUGGUCUGAGAGGAUGACCAGCCACACUGGAACUGAGACACGGUCCAGACUCCUACGGGAGGCAGCAGUGGGGAAUAUUGCACAAUGGGCGCAAGCCUGACGCAGCCAUGCCGCGUGUAUGAAGAAGGCUUUCGGGUUGUAAAGUACUGUCAGCGGGGAGGCGUUACCCGAAGAAGAAGCACCGGCUAACUCCGUGCCAGCAGCCGCGGUAAUUC
rnacentral:rRNA from 1 species